rnacentral:rRNA from 1 species
GACGAACGCUGGCGGCGUGCUUAACACAUGCAAGUCGUACGGUAAGGCCCUUUCGGGGGUCCACGAGUGGCGAACGGGUGAGUAACACGUGAGUAACCUGCCCACAACUUUGGGAUAACGCUAGGAAACUGGUGCUAAUACUGGAUAUGUGCUCCUGCUGCAUGGUGGGGGUUGGAAAGCUCCGGGGGUUGUGGAUGGACUCGCGGCCUAUCAGCUUGUUGGUGGGGUAGUGGCCUACCAAGGCGGCGACGGGUAGCCGGCCUGAGAGGGUGACCGGCCACAUUGGGACUGAGAUACGGCCCAGACUCCUACGGGGGGCAGCAGGGGGGAAUAUUGCACAAUGGGCGCAAGCCUGAUGCAGCAACGCCGCGUGCGGGAUGACGGCCUUCGGGUUGUAAACCGCUUUCAGCAGGGACGAAGCUUUUUGUGACGGUACCUGCAGAAGAAGCACCGGCUAACUACGUG